UCAAAUCAACACCAUAAUAUAAAAAAAAUUAUUUCGAGAAAAUUAAAUCUUUAUUCAUAAAAUCUGGGGUCUCACAAUCUCUCCUCCUUAUGAAAUUUUGCCUUUGAAAUUUACGUACGUACCUGGUAUGCCGAAUAGGUGAGGAUACCUUGACUUCACUUUAAAUUCUAACUCUUGAGGUAUGACCUUUGAGUGUUGAAUACGAUCCUUUUUAUCCAAAAUUUUAACACGUAGCUCCUCAUACGUUAAAUCUUC
rnacentral:lncRNA from 1 species